rnacentral:rRNA from 1 species
AUUGAACGCUGGCGGCAGGCCUAACACAUGCAAGUCGAGCGAGAGGCGGACGGGUGAGAAAUGUAUGGGGACUGCCCGAUAGAGGGGGAUAACAACUGGAAACGGUGGCCAAUACCGCAUAUUGUCGGAGAACCCAUAAGGGAUCAGCUAGUAGGUAAGGUAAUGGCUUACCUAGGCGACGCUCCCUAGCUGGUCUGAGAGGAUGAUCAGCCACACUGGAACGUGGACACGGCCCAGACUCCUACGGAGGCAGCAGUGGGGAAUAUUGCACAAUGGGCGCAAGCCUGAUGCAGCCCUGCCGCGUGUAUGAAGAAGGCCCUAGGGUUGUAAAGUACUUUCAGACGAGAGGCGUUACCGACAGAAGAAGCACCGGCUAACUCCGUGCCAGCGGCCGCGGUAAUAC